GCGUUCAAUGGAUGCCUUGGUGCAACACACCGAAGAAGGACGUGGAGGGCUGCGAUAAGUACCGGUGAGCUGCCGUCAAGCUUUGAUCCGGUAAUUUCCGAAUGGGGAAACCCGCUUGUGCAUGGCACAGGGGUUCUUAAGUCACUUAAGUACCUUAAGUUACUUAGGGGUUCUUGCGCUGUGCAUGAGCAUCCUUUUGCGAAUUAAUAAGCUUAAGGAAGGGUACCGUCUGAACUGAAACAUCUAAGUAAGGCGAGGAAAAGAAAGUAAUUAACGAUUCCCUGAGUAGUGGCGAGCGAAAGGGGAAAAGCCCAAACCAGGUACCAUACGGUACCUGGGGUUGCGGGACUCUAAUAUGAGAUCUCACUUAAGAUAGCAGAACUGUCUGGAAUGGCAGGCCAUAGAGAGUGAAAGACUCGUAUGUGAAAUCUUAAAUGGCUCUAGGAGUAUCCCAAGUACUACGGGACACGCGAAAUCCUGUAGGAAUCUGGCUCGACCAUGAGCUAAGGCUAAAUAUGUGUUGCGACCGAUAGUGAACUAGUACCGUGAGGGAAAGGUGAAAGAGUACCCCGGAAGGGGAAUGAAAAGUACCUGAAAUUGAACGCUAACAAGCAGCCGGAGCCAGGUACCGUCUGGUACCUGGUGACGACGUGCCUAUUGAAGAAUGAACCGGUGAGUUUUUCCAUUCUGUAGUCUANNNNNNNNNNNNNNUACAUUUAUUUAAUUAAAAAGGGGAAUGGACAACUUUACAUAGGAUUCACUGCGAAUCUAAAAAGAAGAUUAGAAGAACAUAAAGCAAGAUGGGGUCAGCUAAAAUUAAUAUACUUUGAGGCUUAUAACGACGAAUUUUUAGCAAGAGUAAGAGAAAAAAAGUUGAAAAUGUACGGGAGUGCAUAUAGGGCAUUGAAACGAAGACUUCAUUUGUAUAGAGCUUAGAAGGCUGGGGGAGGCAAAGUGAAAGCGAGCGUUAAUAGCGCGUCCCGCCCUUUUUGGGUUUAAGUUAGACGGGGACAAUGUUCAAUUUGAACUUGAAAAGGGCGGGAUUAUACAGCAUGGAAAAGACCCGAAACCGCGUGAGCUAGCCAUGGCCAGGAUGAAGUCCCGCGAAAGCGGUAUGGAGGUCCGAACCCGUGUCAGUUGCAAGUGGCUGGGAUGAGCUGUGGUUAGGGGUGAUAUGCCAAUCGAACGCGGAGAUAGCUGGUUCUCCCCGAAAUAUAUUUAGGUAUAGCCCCCGUCAAAGUUCCUAGGGGUAGAGCACUGAAUAGUCUGUGCGCAGCAAUGUGUGCUGAUUAAUCAAACUUCGAAUACUGGGAAAUAAUCUAGGCGGGGAGUCAGUCCGACCCGGAUAAGCGGGCCAGGGCUAAAGGGAAACAUCCCAGAUCCAAAGCUAAGGUCCCGAAGUGUAUUUUAAGUGUGCAAGGUAGUAUUGACGUUUAGACAGCAAGGAGGUUGGCUUAGAGGCAGCCAUCCUUUAAAGAAAGCGUAACAGCUCACUUGUCUAAGUUCCGGAGAUCGGAAUUCAGAUGUCGGAUCUCGGACGUGAUAGUCUGAUUUCUGAUAUCCGACAUCCGACCUCCGGAACAGGCGGCAGUGCGCCGACAAUGUAACGGGGCUAAAAAUACCACCGAAGCUUGGGGUUCGCAUGCGUAGCAUGCGAUUACGAAUGGAUGCGAAUGCUAGAUUAAUGCGAAUGAAUGCGAAUGUGCUUCGAUUUAAUAUCUCAUUGUUGAUAUUUUAGAUUAUUGAUGCAUUCGAAUAAAUUCGCAUAUAAAAAGUAUUUGCAAAAAUUAGUAGUCGCCUGCUGCGCAGGCGAGCGGUAGGGGAGCGUUCGCAUAUGCGGUGAAGGCCACGGCGUAAGCCGGACUGGAGCGGUGCGAAGUGAGAAUGCCGGUAUGAGUAGCGAAACCCCGGUUGGAAUCCGGGGCGCCGAAUGUCCAAGGUUUCCUACGCAACGUUCGUCGACGUAGGGUUAGUCGGUCCUAAGGCGAGGCCAGAAGGCGUAGUCGAUGGACAAGCCGUUAAUAUUCGGCUACUUUGACAAAAUCGUUUUAAAGCAAAGGGAAGACGAAGAUGGAAGACUUCUGGGUCGAAAUGAUACGGCCCCUAAAAAGCAAGGAAGUGAAAAGUGGAAAAUCCCUUUUUAUGAUUAUUCGAGCUUUGAUAGCAAUCUGGCUCGCGCUGGAGAGAGAAACUGUUUCAACUUCCAAGAAAUUUUCUCGUUGUUAUGUUUUUGUCAAAACCGUACCUAAACCGACACAGGUGGACUGGUAUUAGUGUACCAAGGCGAGCGAGAGAACCUUCCUUAAGGAACUCGGCAAUAUAACUGGACGUACCUUUGGUAGAUGUCCUCCCAGGUACCAAACGGUACCUGGGCGCAGUUAACGAUGCCAAGCGACUGUUUAACAAAAACACAGGUCCCUGCUUAAGUUGAAAAACGAUGUAUAGGGGCUGACGCCUGCCCAGUGCUCGUAGGUUAAAUGCCGUAGGUGAUCCCCGCCCUUUUUGGGCUUUAGAUUUUCGUUUGUUACUAAACUAACGAAAUUUCAUUUUGAGUAAAUUUUUAAGUCUAGAGCUUGAAAAGGACGGGGUGAGCUUGUGGUAUAAGCCCGGGUAAACGGCAGCAGUAACUAUAACUGUUCUAAGGUAGCGAAAUUCCUUGUCGGGUAAGUUCCGACCCGCACAAAAGGCUGAACGACUUGGCAACUGUCUUGAGGAAGGACUCGGCGAAAUUGCAAUGGCUGUGAAGAUGCGGCCAACUUGCACCAGGACAAAAAGACCCCGUGGAGCUUUACUGCAGCUUGACUUUGUUUCAACUAUUGGAACUGUAUAGCGUAGGAGGGAGUCAGGUACCAUUCGGUACCUGACAACAAUGUAACACCUCUCUUUUCGAUGGCUGGAACUUACCGUUUGUCCUAAUAAAAUACGGGAGACGGGACAGUGUCUGGUGGGCAGUUUGACUGGGGCGGUCGCCUCCUAAAAGGUAACGGAGGCGUACAAAGGUCGACUCAAGUCCUACAGAAACGGACUUUAAGAGUGCAAAGGCAUAAGUCGGCUUGACUGCGAGUGGUACAUCACAAGCAGGUGCGAAAGCAGGUCUUAGUGAUCCUCACGUGGCUUAUGGGAGCGCGUGAGCUUAACGGAUAAAAGCUACCCCGGGGAUAACAGGCUUAUCUUCCCCAAGAGUCCAUAUCGACGGGAAGGUUUGGCACCUCGAUGUCGGCUCACCGUAUCCUCCUGCUGAAGUAGGCGGGAAGGGUUGGGCUGUUCGCCCAUUAAAACGGUACGCGAGCUGGGUUCAGAACGUCGUGAGACAGUUCGGCCUCUAUCCGGUGCAAGCGUUUGAUAUUUGAGGGGGGUCGCCACUAGUACGAGAGGACCGUGGUGAGCGAACCUCUAGUGUGCCAGUUGUCACAUCAGUGGCAGUGCUGGGUAGCUACGUUCGUAACUGAGAAGCGCUGAAAGCAUCUAAGCGCCAAACAGGCCCCAAGACUAGAUAUCGUUAAGAUCCGUUGUAGACUACGACGUUGAUAGGCGGCAAGUGUAAAGGCAGUAAUGUUUGU
rnacentral:rRNA from 1 species